GGGGUAGUAGCUCAGCUUGGUUAGAGCGCCGGCCUGUCACGUCGGAGGUCGCGGGUUCGAGCCCCGCCUAUCCCGCCA
rnacentral:tRNA from 1 species